UAGGGAAUCUUCGGCAAUGGGGGCAACCCUGACCGAGCAACGCCGCGUGAGUGAAGAAGGUUUUCGGAUCGUAAGGCUCUGUUGUAAGAGAAGAACGUGUGUGAGAGUGGAAAGUUCACACAGUGACGGUAACUUACCAGAAAGGGACGGCUAACUACGUGCCUG
rnacentral:rRNA from 1 species